UACGUAGGGGGCAAGCGUUGUCCGGAAUUAUUGGGCGUAAAGGGCGCGUAGGCGGCUCGGCACGUCCGUUGUGAAAUCGCCCGGCUCAACUGGGCGGGGUCGGCGGAUACGGCCGAGCUGGAGCAAGCUAGGGGGUAAUGGAAUUCCCGGUGUAGUGGUGGAAUGCGUAGAUAUCGGGAGGAACACCAGUGGCGAAGGCGGUUACCUGGAGCUUUGCUGACGCUGAUGCGCGAAAGCGUGGGGAGCGAGUCCGG
rnacentral:rRNA from 1 species